AAAUUGAAGAGUUUGAUCAUGGCUCAGAUUGAACGCUGGCGGCAGGCCUAACACAUGCAAGUCGAACGGUAACAGGAAGAAGCUUGCUUCUUUGCUGACGAGUGGCGGACGGGUGAGUAAUGUCUGGGAAAC
rnacentral:rRNA from 1 species